CGUCUAGCUCAGUUGGUAG
rnacentral:siRNA from 1 species